rnacentral:circRNA from 1 species
GCACAUAAUAUUGAAGAUGACUCCAGGAUGAACCCUGAGUUUGCAGACCAAAUAAAACAGCUCGAUAAAGAGGCGUCUUACUACCGCGACGAGUGUGGCAAGGCCCAAGCGGAAGUGGACCGGUUGCUGGAGAUCCUCAAGGAGGUGGAGAAUGAGAAGAAUGACAAGGACAAGAAGAUCGCAGAACUGGAGAGCUUGACUCUCAGGCAUAUGAAAGAUCAGAAUAAGAAGGUGGCCAACCUCAAGCACAAUCAACAGUUGGAAAAGAAGAAAAAUGCUCAGUUACUAGAAGAAGUGCGCAGGCGAGAAGACAGCAUGGCUGACAACUCACAGCAUUUGCAG